GAUAGCUCAGUUGGUAGAGCAUGAGAUUCUUAACCUCAGGGUUGUGGGUUCAAGCGCCACCCGGGGCA
rnacentral:tRNA from 1 species